CGAUGACAUUAAUUCACCAGUGAGAGGCAGCAGUGCGCUAAUGUGCAACAGGAACAAAACAACAGAAGAAGAAAUAAGGACGGUGAGCAUGCACAAGUUUUGAAGCUGCGUCGAAUUUGCUGAAACUAUGAAGUAGAAAGACUGUUUACAUUUCACCUCUGGACAAAGAAUGAUUGAUUACUUCUACACAAUAAUAAUAAGGAAAAAAGCUUGUGUCAACUGUCUUCUCUGAGCAGCGGUCUUGUGAUCACCAGCCUCAGUAUAAUAAAGAUUUGACAGAACUACACACCCAUCUGAUGCCUACCUGUUUUAAUUCAUGAUCCCCCCGGAUACUUCUACAACUAACCCGCCUUGGUGUCUGAUGCUGAUGCAGUCUGGGCACUAGUAUCUGUUGGCUUGCUGACUAUCACUGACGAUGAAGUACUUCUCCAAAUCUUGACCCAGUGUCUUCUGCCAUCAUUGUUCAGGGUAGUACUGCAAAGAAUAGUCUCCAGGGUCUGCCUCCAACAUUUGCUUCCCGACCACCAUGUGCUACGUUUGCAUCACUGCUACAUGUGGGUUACCCUGAUACUGUGAAGAAAACCUACAAUAUGAUGCUUGACUUGGGACAGAAAAAAAAAACAUUGGCAACUUGUGUGGCCAACUCAUUGCCGUAUUUAAAAUCAUUGUACUGCUACCUCCAUUGUUUAACAUAACUAAAAGCAGAUUGUUUUUGCUCUGUUUAAAAUUGUUUGUAAUACGAAUUAAAACUACAUUGAAAAAAAUAUAUCAUCUUUAACUUUGAACUGUCACUACAUUUGAUUUAGGGUAAUUAUGUGUGUGAAGAAUAGAACAUUGUUGUCAUGAAUUUGUAAUAGUUUUUUGAAGUAAUUAAGUUACUAGAUUAAUGGUAACUUUUUUUUUAAAGGCAAUUGGUCAACUAGAUUUCUGUUCAAGUAAAUACAACUUAGAAAUUCCAAGUUGCAGGAAAUGUUUCUUGAUUUAGCUAAAUUUAAAUGAGUUGUUUGAAAUACGUACAUAGUAUAAUGUACUUAAUUUAGUUGUUGAAAAUAGUAAUUCUGAGUUACACGUUUACAACACUUAUAAAUAAACCUUUGUUAGUACAAAUUACUAUUCUUAUUUCACUUUACUUGUUUUUUUCAAGGCAAUCGGUUUGCAUGCUUUUUUUUUUUUAAAUAAGGUUUACUCAUUAUAAUUUACAGUGCAGACAACCUCCCUGCCCAGUGCACACUAGUGAGAUAGUCAAAACACUGUAAUUGUAGUAAAGUACUGUAACUAUACUGUACUACACUGUGUGAUUCUUUCAGCUCUCUCUCCAGUGCUAGGAUGCAUUUUUAAAGCAGUCACCUGUGCUCCUGUUCAUAAUUUCCUGAGAUGCUACUGAAUGCUUGCUUAUGGAUAAUUGUGUGUUAUUUGAGUUCACACUGUGACAAUAGAGUUAAAUAUUUGAUGUGUUUGUGUUUUAUGAAUGAGACUUUGGAGAAAUCAUUAAAAAAAAUUGUAAUGUGUGUAUAUAUGAAUUUUAUAUGAAUAUUAUAGAAUUUUAUAAUUUCUAAACUACAAAAUUAUUAAAACAUUACAUGAUUGAAGUGUUUACUCAUGGCCCAUGGUCCAUUGUUAAUUUCAAAUUUGGCCUUUGGAUUUAACUAUUAAUGCAUUAAGCCAUUUUUCAAUUUAUGUUUUCUGGUGGACAAAACACUUAAACCUAUACAAAUGUUGUCUUUUUGGUUUAUACUGUCCUUAUCUUGGUGCCAUUAGUUAUAUAUGAUGCUUACAAGAAAGCUGUGAAUUGGUUGUUCCUGGUUGUUGUUUUACAUGUGCACUUCUA